rnacentral:rRNA from 1 species
AGUGAACGCUGGCGGUAGGCCUAACACAUGCAAGUCGAACGGCAGCACAGUAAGAGCUUGCUCUUACGGGUGGCGAGUGGCGGACGGGUGAGGAAUACAUCGGAAUCUACUUUUUCGUGGGGGAUAACGUAGGGAAACUUACGCUAAUACCGCAUACGACCUACGGGUGAAAGCAGGGGAUCUUCGGACCUUGCGCGAUUGAAUGAGCCGAUGUCGGAUUAGCUAGUUGGCGGGGUAAAGGCCCACCCAGGCGACGAUCCGUAGCUGGUCUGAGAGGAUGAUCAGCCACACUGGAACUGAGACACGGACCAGACUCCUACGGGAGGCAGCAGUGGGGAAUAUUGGACAAUGGGCGCAAGCCUGAUCCAGCCAUACCGCGUGGGUGAAGAAGGCCUUCGGGUUGUAAAGCCCUUUUGUUGGGAAAGAAAAGCAGCAGGUUAAUACCCCGCUGUUCUGACGGUACCCAAAGAAUAAGCACCGGCUAACUUCGUG